CGGUGUUUAACUGGCGUGAUGUGGGACGUCCUACCGGUGGGCUUAGCCUCGCGAGGGGGCGGCCCAACUAAUAUCCCGUCGCGGUGCUCUUUACUGAGUGUCGAGUCGGGCCGGUACGUUUACUUUGAACAAAUUAGAGUGCUUAAAGCAGGCUAUCCUCGCCUGAAUACUGCGUGCAUGGAAUAAUGGAAUAGGACCUCGGUUCUAUUUUGUUGGUUUUCGGAACCCCGAGGUAAUGAUUAAUAGGGACAGAUGGGGGCAUUCGUAUUGCGACGUUAGAGGUGAAAUUCUUGGAUCGUCGCAAGACGGACAGAAGCGAAAGCAUUUGCCAAAAAUGUUUUCAUUAAUCAAGAACGAAAGUUAGAGGUUCGAAGGCGAUCAGAUACCGCCCUAGUUCUAACCAUAAACGAUGCCAGCUAGCGAUCCGCCGAAGUUCCUCCGAUGACUCGGCGGGCAGCUUCCGGGAAACCAAAGCUUUUGGGUUCCGGGGGAAGUAUGGUUGCAAAGCUGAAACUUAAAGGAAUUGACGGAAGGGCACCACCAGGAGUGGAGCCUGCGGCUUAAUUUGACUCAACACGGGAAACCUCACCAGGCCCAGACACCGGAAGGAUUGACAGAUUGAUAGCUCUUUCUUGAUUCGGUGGGUGGUGGUGCAUGGCCCGUUCUUAGUUGGUGGAGCGAUUUGUCUGGUUAAUUCCGAUAACGAACGAGACUCUAGCCUGCUAAAUAGGCGUACCUUAUGGUAUCGCGAAGGCCCCCGGCUUCGGCCGGUGGGUUUUUACUACCAACGUACAAACAAAUCUUCUUAGAGGGACAGGCGG
rnacentral:rRNA from 1 species